rnacentral:rRNA from 1 species
ACCUACGGGGCGCAGCAGUGGGGAAUAUUGGACAAUGGGCGCAAGCCUGAUCCAGCAAUGCCGCGUGAGUGAGGAAGGCCUUAGGGUUGUAAAGCUCUUUCACCCACGACGAUGAUGACGGUAGUGGGAGAAGAAGCCCCGGCUAACUUCGUGCCAGCAGCCGCGGUAAUACGAAGGGGGCGAGCGUUGUUCGGAUUUACUGGGCGUAAAGGGCGCGCAGGCGGCAGAUCAAGUCAGGCGUGAAAGCCCCGGGCUUAACCUGGGAGGUGCGCCUGGGACUGGUUUGCUUGAGAUCGGGAGAGGAGCGUGGAAUUCCCAGUGUAGAGGUGAAAUUCGUAGAUAUUGGGAAGAACACCGGUGGCGAAGGCGGCGCUCUGGACCGAGACUGACGCUGAGGCGCGAAAGCGUGGGGAGCAAACAGGAUUAGAUACCCCGGUAGC